rnacentral:ribozyme from 1 species
AAAAAAAAAAAAAAAAAAAAAAAAAAAAAAAAAAAAAAAAA